UCACAAAAUGAUGACAUUCUGAAAUAUUUUUGGCAACUACUCUAACAGUUAUUUAUUAUGGAUAGUGAUAAUGAAAUUUGCUUUGAGAUAUAAUAGAGCAUCUCUUCAAUUCACAUGUGACCCAACCUCAAUGUAACAUCUUAUCCUUAAAAUAUAUGAAUCACAAACUAGUCUGCCAAUUCAGAGGGAAUAACCUAAAUCAUACAAAACUUGAUUCUGUUUGUCCCUUGUGAGAUUGGCCUCUUUUCUCACACUGGAGGAAGAAGAGGAGGAGCUGAGUUCCCUAGUCACAUGCUUAACUUAAGGAUCAGGAGAACUGGUCUGCAAGAUAAGAAAUGAAAUCACUGGAUGCCUCCUGUCCAGAUGCCUGGCCUGGGAAGAUAUUGGACAGUAACUGAUACUGAAAAUCAUCAAACAUGUCCAGAAGGAAUCAGAUGGAUAGCAAUUUCACUGCCAUAUUUUUCUGGUCAUUCCAUGUCAAGUGGUCUGGGGCUCCCAGUUCGACCAUCAUGGAUUUCAAUGAAAUUUGAUGUGAACAUGUCCCCAAUGAACAUUGGUAAAGUCUUACUCUUUCCGAUGCAAUACUUGCAGAAAUAUAGUCAUUUGUUUGACCCCAUACCGCAGCCUUCUACAGUAUGACACUGAGGUUUCAGCAACUUUGAGACAUAAUAUCUCCGGCAAUAUUUUGUUGAGAGAAACAAAAUUUGGCCAUCUUCUCCAACUUGAUGUGCUCUAUUAAACAAAAUAAUAAGAACAUU